AAGGGAGACCUAAUUCAGGUAGGAGACGAAAAAAAAGUAGUCCCAACCAAGAAUCAAUCCCAAAAGGUCGGAGCGAGGCGAAAUUGGCUUUCAAACUAGGUUCUGGGUUCACACAAGACCUGAAUCAGGAACAAGGGCUAUUAGCCCAGGUGGUUAGAGCGCACCCCUGAUAAGGGUGAGGUCCCUGGUUCGAGUCCAGGAUGGCCCACCUGCACAGGUGGCAAAAACAAGAGAAGCGAGGAAUCAGCACCUUAUCUUAUCUAUAUAUAUAUAGGAGAGAAUGCUGGCUCUGAGUAAAGAGUCCAGAGGAACCUUGAAAACUGCAUAGAGCUAGGUGAAAAAGCCAAAAAAGAAGACCGCAA
rnacentral:tRNA from 1 species